rnacentral:misc_RNA from 1 species
AGAUUACCAUGGUUUUGAUUUCUAAUACUCUUGCUUGUGUCUUUGUGGGUUUGCAACUCUAUCAUGCUAAAAAGCAUCCUGAUGUGCUACCCUUCAUUUCGUUUGUGAUGCUUAUGGUUCUAACACUAGGUUACAUGAUACCUCUUCUGUUAAAUUUUGAAGCCCUGUUCAUGGCAAAUCAUAACAGACAGAAUGUUUUCCUUGAGAGUGGUGGAUGGCUUGAAGUAAAUGAGGUAAUAGUGAGGGUUGUAACAAUGGUAGCAUUUCUUUUGCAAUUCCGUCUGCUCCAACUCAGUUGGUCUGCCAGGCAGAGUGAUGGAAGCCAUAAAAGUUUGUGGCUUU